GAACUGGUUAGCUCAGUCACUUGAGCGUGGCACUAACAACGCCAAGGUUGCAGGUUCGAUUCCCGUUCGGUCCC
rfam:Apaloderma vittatum contig80389, whole genome shotgun sequence.